rnacentral:rRNA from 1 species
UUUAACCAUCCAUAUCACCCUGUAGCCCAAGACUGGUUGCCCACUGCAACUAAGCUGGUUUGAGCUUGGUCAGUACCUGGAUGGGAGACCUCCUGGGAAAACUAGGUUGCUGUUGGAA